UCGGGAAUUUUGGGCAAUGGGCGAAAGCCUGACCCAGCAGCGCCGCGUGAGGGAUGAAGUAUUUCGGUAUGUAAACCUCGAAAGAAUGGGAAGAAUAAAUGACGGUACCAUUUAUAAGCUCCGGCUAACUACGUGCCAGCAGCCGCGGUAAUACGUAGGGAGCAAGCGUUGUUCGGAUUUACUGGGCGUAAAGGGCGCGUAGGCGGCGCGGUAAGUCACUUGUGAAAUCUCUGAGCUUAACUCAGAACGGCCAAGUGAUACUGCUGGGCUAGAGUGCGGAAGAGGCAACCGGAAUUCUUGGUGUAGCGGUGAAAUGCGUAGAUAUCAAGAGGAACACCUGAGGCGAAGGCGGGUUGCGGGGCCGACACUGACGCUGAUGCGCG
rnacentral:rRNA from 1 species